rnacentral:rRNA from 1 species
GAAACCCAGUGUGACUCGUCACACUAUCAUUAACUGAAUCCAUAGGUUAAUGAGGCGAACCGGGGGAACUGAAACAUCUAAGUACCCCGAGGAAAAGAAAUCAACCGAGAUUCCCCCAGUAGCGGCGAGCGAACGGGGAGGAGCCCAGAGCCUGAAUCAGCAUGUGUGUUAGUGGAAGCGUCUGGAAAGGCGCGCGAUACAGGGUGACAGCCCCGUACACAAAAGCGCAUGUGCUGUGAGCUCGAUGAGUAGGGCGGGACACGUGGUAUCCUGUCUGAAUAUGGGGGGACCAUCCUCCAAGGCUAAAUACUCCUGACUGACCGAUAGUGAACCAGUACCGUGAGGGAAAGGCGAAAAGAACCCCGGCGAGGGGAGUGAAAAAGAACCUGAAACCGUGUACGUACAAGCAGUGGGAGCACAGGUUUACCUGUGUGACUGCGUACCUUUUGUAUAAUGGGUCAGCGACUUAUAUUCUGUAGCAAGGUUAACCGAAUAGGGGAGCCGGAGGGAAACCGAGUCUUAAUUGGGCGUUAAGUUGCAGGGUAUAGACCCGAAACCCGGUGAUCUAGCCAUGGGCAGGUUGAAGGUUGGGUAACACUAACUGGAGGACCGAACCGACUAAUGUUGAAAAAUUAGCGGAUGACCUGUGGCUGGGGGUGAAAGGCCAAUCAAACCGGGAGAUAGCUGGUUCUCCCCGAAAGCUAUUUAGGUAGCGCCUCGUGAAUUCAUCUCCGGGGGUAGAGCACUGUUUCGGCUAGGGGGCCAUCCCGGCUUACCAACCCGAUGCAAACUGCGAAUACCGGAGAAUGUUAUCACGGGAGACACACGGCGGGUGCUAACGUCCGUCGUGAAGAGGGAAACAACCCAGACCGCCAGCUAAGGUCCCAAAGUCAUGGUUAAGUGGGAAACGAUGUGGGAAGGCCCAGACAGCCAGGAUGUUGGCUUAGAAGCAGCCAUCAUUUAAAGAAAGCGUAAUAGCUCACUGGUCGAGUCGGCCUGCGCGGAAGAUGUAACGGGGCUAAACCAUGCACCGAAGCUGCGGCAGCGACACUGUGUGUUGUUGGGUAGGGGAGCGUUCUGUAAGCCUGCGAAGGUGGCCUGUGAGGG